CAGGGGAGCCGGCAUGUCACAUGGUGAGAGAGGGAGCAAGAGGAAGGGGUGCCAUGCUCUUUUAAACAAUCAGCUAUCGAGUGAACUAAUAGAGUAAAAAAUCACUCAUUACCUCACGAAGGGCACCAAGCCAUUUAUGAGGGAUCUGACCCCAUGACCCAAACACCUCCCAAUAUGCCCCACCUCCAACAUUGGGGGAUCACAUUUCAACAUGAGCUUUUGAUGGGGACAAACUUCCAAACUAUAUCAUCCCCCUAUCCUUCUGGCAUAAUCUCACCAUAGUACAUUUCUCCCCAGUACUCCUAACAAUGCCCCAGCUCUUGGCUCUGUAUUCCUCUCCAUUACAUGGUGUUAUCAUCAUUACUAAUUUUUCUCUAAGGCAAUUAACACCAAAAUAAUUCACUGUUUCUAUAAAUGUUCUCUCAUUGCUAGAGUGUUGGAAUUCUGGAGCUACAAAGAUUAAACCAGCUAAACAUAGAAUGAGAGAUGUAUGAGAAGUGAAGGGCCUUCUGUUACUACAACCUCUCAUUUUUAAGCCGAAGCUAGACUGUACUGCCGCCAUCUCUGCUCACUGCAACCUCCCUGCCUGAUUCUCCUGCCUCAACCUGCCGAGUGCCUGCGAUUGCAGGCGUGCGCCGCCACGCCUGACGGGUUUUCAUAUUUUUUUGGUGGAGACGGGGUUUCGCUGUGUUGGCCGGACUGGUCUCCAGCUCCCAACCGGGAGUGAUCUGCCAGCCUCGGCCCCCCGAGGUGCCGGGAUUGCAGAUGGAGUCUCAUUCACUCAGUGCUCAAUGUUGCCCAGGCUGGAGUGCAGUGGCGUGAUCUCGGCUCGCUACAACCUCCACCUCCCAGCCGCCUGCCUUGGCCUCCCAAAGUGCCGAGAUUGCAGCCUCUGCCCGGCCACCACCCCGUCUGGGAAGUGAGGAGCAUCUCUGCCUUGCCGCCCAGUCUGGGAAGUGAGGAGCGCCUCUUCCCCGCCGCCAUCCCGUCUAGGAAGUGAGGAGCGUCUCUGCCCAGCCUCCCAUCGUCUGAGAUGUGGGGAGCGCCACUGCCCCGCUGCCCCGUUUGGGAUGUGAGGAGCGCCUCUGCCCGGCCACGACCCCGUCUGGGAGGUGAGGAGCGUCUCUGCCCGGCCGCCCCAUCUGAGAAGUGAGGAGCCCCUCCGCCUGGCAGCCACCCCAUCUGGGAAGUGAGGAGUGUCUCCACCCAGCAGCCACCCCGUCCAGGAAGUGGGGGGUCAGCCCCCACCCUGCCAGCCGCCCCGUCCGGGAGGGAGGUGGGGGCCAGCCCCUGCCCGGCCAGCCACCCCAUCUGGGAGGGAGGUGGGGGGCCAGCUCCCGCCCGGCCAGCCACCCCAUCCAGGAGGUGGGGGGCGCCUCUGCCUGGCCACCCCUUCUGGGAAGUGAGGAGCCCCUCUGCCCAGCCACCACCCCGUCUGGGAGGUGUACCCAACAGCUCAUUGAGAACAGGCCAUGAUGACGUGGUGGUUUUGUCGAAUAGAAAAGGGGGAAAUGUGGGGAUAAGAUAGAGAAAUCAGAUUGUUGCUGUGUCUGUGUAGAAA
rnacentral:lncRNA from 10 species